GGGACCCCAGGUCAGGCGGGAUUACCCGCUGAGUUUAA
rnacentral:rRNA from 1 species